rnacentral:misc_RNA from 1 species
GAUGAAGAACGCAGCGAAAUGCGAUAAGUAAUGCGAAUUGCAGAAUUCAGUGAGUCAUCGAAUCUUUGAACGCACAUUGCGCCCUGUGGUAUUCCGCAGGGCAUGCCUGUUCGAGCGUCAUUUCAACCCUCAAGCCCAGCUUGGUGUUGGGGAUCGGCACAGGCGCCCUCGGGCGCCCGCCGUCCCCUAAAUCUAGUGGCGGUCCCGCUGCAGCCUCCUCUGCGUAGUAGUUUUCUCCUCGCAAGGGCAGCUCGGUGGCGACCUCGCCGUAAAACCCCCAACUUCUGAAAGGUUGACCUCGAAUCAGGUAGGAAUACCCGCUGAACUUAAGCAUAUCAAUAAGCGGAGGA